AACGAACGCUGGCGGCGUGGAUAAGACAUGCAAGUCGAACGGGACAACAUUUGUAGCAAUACCGAUGUUGUUUAGUGGCGAACGGGUGCGUAACACGUGGGCAAUCUGCCGAGAAGUGGGGGAUAGCUCGCCGAAAGGCGAAUUAAUACCGCAUAUGAUCAGAGGAGACAUUUCUUCGACAUCAAAGCCGGGGCAACCUGGCGCUUUUGAGGAGCCCGCGGCCUAUCAGCUAGUUGGUGAGGUAACGGCUCACCAAGGCUUUGACGGGUAGCUGGUCUGAGAGGACGACCAGUCACACUGGAACUGAGACACGGUCCAGACACCUACGGGUGGCAGCAGUCGAG
rnacentral:rRNA from 1 species